CACUUGUGGCUCCCACUGUCAAAACGAGACAACAUCCGUUACGGGCGGGUUACCGCUAGCGACCGGGAGGUGGAGGAGGCGGCGAUCGCUGCUGACAUUCAUGACAAAAUCAUGACCUUCCCUGACGGUUAUGAAACUCAGGUGGGUGAAAGAGGUCUGAAGUUGAGUGGAGGAGAGAAGCAGAGAGUGGCCAUCGCCCGCACCAUCCUCAAAGCACCACAGAUCAUUCUCCUCGAUGAGGCCACAUCUGCUUUAGACACACAGACCGAACGAAACAUACAAGCCUCGCUCGGUAAAGUCUGCGCCAACAGAACCACCA